UGGGGAAUUUUGCACAAUGGGGGAAACCCUGAUGCAGCGACGCCGCGUGAUUUAGAAGGCCUUCGGGUUGUAAAAAUCUUUUCUAUGGGAAGAAAAUGACAGUACCAUAGGAAUAAGGACCGGCUAAUUACGUGCCAGCAGCCGCGGUAAUACGUAAGGUCCGAGCGUUGUCCGGAAUCAUUGGGCGUAAAGGGUACGUAGGCGGGUAAGCAAGUUAGCAGUGAAAUCCUAUAGCUCAACUAUAGUAAGCUUUUAAAACUGCUCAUCUUGAGGUAUGGAAGGGAAAGUGGAAUUCCUAGUGUAGCGGUGAAAUGCGCAGAUAUUAGGAGGAAUACCGGUGGCGAAGGCGACUUUCUGGCCAUAACCUGACGCUGAGGUACGAAAGCGUGGGUAGCAAACAGG
rnacentral:rRNA from 1 species